CAUAUAUUUUAAGUGCUAGCAGCAGUGGGAUAGGAUGAAGGACUGGAACUUUUCUGGUCCUGUGCAGUGAUAAGGAAAUGAUGCCAGAAGCGGCAUCCACACAGAGAACCGGUUAUUCACAUAUAUGAAUCCCACCACUGGUCACACUGCUAAAACCUAGAAACGUGUCAUCAAAUUUGGCUAUGCAGUGACCUGUCAGUUUAAGGAUGCUGCCAUCACCCACACACUGUUACUCUAUGGAAUGAAGCCAAGAGAAGAGUAAACUUUCUUUUUUUUUCCCUGUUAGAAUGGUGCCCAGAGAGAAAGAAAGGGUCAGCUUCAAGAAAUAGGCAUUAGUUUCCUUGGAUGGUAAAUCCCACAUCAUCUAAAAAAAUCAAGAGUUUUUUAAGGGAAACAAAGAUACAAUCAGAAAUGUCAUGGAAAUUCGGUAGUUAUCCCCGCACCAGAAAAGGAAUGCGCUGAAUUAUGAUGAGCGAAUCUGUCAACUUCUAUUUCACACAAUUUUUCAUCUUUCCAGCCUCAAGUACAUUACAUUUAACUUCUGCAUCUAUUCAUGAAUAUAUUAUUAUUUCUAAGAAGAAAAUUUAAAUAUUUAUAUUCAUAACUUCAAUUAUGUGCAUUUUAUAUGCACUUUUCCUAAUAUAUAUUUUGAAUUUAAUGUUCUCUAUAAAUGUUUAUGAACUUUCUUACGUCCAUUUUUGUGAAAAUUUUGUUGCAAAUUUUUGAAAAGUGCAAAUGUCAGUGUAGAACUGUAUCUCAACAUGCAUAUAAGUUCAAGAAAUAUGAACUGGGUAAAUUUGCAUGAAAAUGAAAACCAAACUGAUUUAUCCAGCAUUCCUAGACCUGACUCAUUUUGGCUUCUCUAAAUAAACAAAUAAUACUACAAUGGUACCUCAGUACUCAUUGUUAAUUGGUUCCGGGAGGUGCAAUGAGUACCAAAAAUUAUGAAUACCAAACAAUUUUUUCCCAUAAGGAAUAAUGUAGUGAGUCACAAGGCAGCCAAAACUGACAAGUUCUACUUUAAGUGUUGAAUACCAAACAAACUAUGAAUACUGCAACAAACAUUUUGCAUCAAAAUACACUAAGUACCAAAUUCAAUGAGUUUCAAAGCCAUUGAUUAUUAAGGUAUCACUGUAAUAGCAAGAGGAAAUAUACUACAGUAUAUUUUCCAUUGCAGAAGAUUUUUGAGAUUGGACUAGGAAAAUUUCCAGUUGAAAUCUUAGACAAACACUGUCAAAUCAGUGUAGACAGCCCUGAACUAAAUGGACUCAGUACCAAGGAAGCUUCUAAAGUCCCUCCCUAAUUGAUUUGACUAUAGGUUGUCCUUGAUUUACAACUGUAAUGGAGCCCUGAAUUUCAGUCAUACAUCAUGACAGACAUAAUUUGAGACACCCACAUGAACAAAUCAAAACAAAAAUUUUAUGACUUUUUGGGCAGUCCUUAAGCAAAUACAGCAGUCGUUAAGCAAAUCAAUAUAUUCAUAGGAGUGGUUAUUUUUUUGCCAGAAACCAACCCAAUAGUUUAGAAACCAGCAAAAGAUGUUGUAAAUGUGGUCACAUGACAAUGGAAUACUGCAACCAGCCAUAAAGAUCAGCUGGUUGCCAAGCACCAAAAUGUGGUCAUGUGACUAAGGUGGUGGUGCAGCUGUUUGAACUCUAAAACUGAGUCAUAAAUAGCUUUUUGGAACUUGUAACUUCAAACGGUCACUAAAUGACCAGUCAUACCUGUAUUAUGAAAGCUGGCAGCACAGAAUCAUAACUGUCUGAAAGCCACUUAACCCAGAAUCAAAUUCCUACAUGGAAGUCAGGUCCACUGCCAGUGCAAUUAUAUAUUGCUUUCCAACAUAUGGGUACUUAAUCUCUAAUCAUUUCUAUUUACUUCAACUUUUCAGAAUCCAUUCCUGCCACACAACAGUAAAUGAGAGCAAUAAAGGGACUGGAAAUCAUUGCCACAAGUUAAGGCAUAGAACCAUGUAGGAAAGAGAAAUCGUAGAAGAAAUUUUGAUAGCUAACUUUUCUGAAUACACAUUAAAAGCUUGACUUUUAAUCCAGAGUGGUAUGGGUUUUUCCCCCUUUUACUUAAAACCCUUGAUUGGUUUGAUGGCCACUUUUUAGUUUAUAAAACUGAAUAUGAAAUACAUUUUUCAUUCAUCUAAUUGUCCAGUAUACAGUAGUUUCCCAGAUUAGGGAGUUUUCAUUGUGUUUU